UACGAAGGGGGCUAGCGUUGCUCGGAUUUACUGGGCGUAAAGGGCGCGUAGGCGGACAGUUAAGUCGGGGGUGAAAGCCCGGGGCUCAACCUCGGAAUUGCCUUCGAUACUGGCCGUCUUGAGUACGGGAGAGGUGUGUGGAACUCCGAGUGUAGAGGUGAAAUUCGUAGAUAUUCGGAAGAACACCAGCGGCGAAGGCGACACACUGGCCCGUUACUGACGCUGAGGCGCGAAAGCGUGGGGAGCAAACAGG
rnacentral:rRNA from 1 species